GUCCGUAAAGGUGGAUGAGUGGUGUUUGGUUUGUUACGUGUGGUUGGCUGCGGCGUUUGCAACAACUUCCAUGCUUUCAGACCUCUUCAGUUGUGCGGCAAGGCUUGUAUCGCCUUGAGCGUAUUGUGGGUUUUCUGUGUUGAAUACCUAAUCAAUGGUAUCAGUUGGAUUGAUCAAUGUUUCAUUUCGUCUGUCGUCGCAUUCGCGGCGUGAGAUGAACCUUGAUGCGGUCUCUUUGAUCCACCUCGUCGAAGCACAUGCUUUGACCUUGUGGCACAUUGAGCAUUGCUUGGUCUCUUGUAUACGGAACAUAUAGUGGGCAUGGAUCUAANGAUUCUUGUUUGCCCUCAUGUUAGCGUAACGCUUCUCUUACACGACUUGCUCCACGUUUUAGCUCGUACGGACGUGGUU
rnacentral:misc_RNA from 1 species